GUGCUUGCUUCAACUGCACAUAUAAAAUUUGGAACAAUACAGAGAAGAUUAGCAUGGCCCCUGUGCAAGGAUAAUACGAAAAUUCACGAAGUGUUCCAUAUUUUU